AGUGAACGCUGGCGGUAGGCCUAACACAUGCAAGUCGAACGGCAGCACAGUAAGAGUUUGCUCUUACGGGUGGCGAGUGGCGGACGGGUGAGGAAUAUAUCGGAAUCUACUUUUUCGUGGGGGUUAACGAAGCGAAACCUACGCUCAUACCGCAUACCACCUACGGGUGUAAGCAGGGGAACUUUGGACCUUGUGCGAUUGAAUUAGCCGAUGUCGGUUUUGAUAGUUGGCGGGGUAAAGGCCCACCAAUGCGACGAUCCGUAGCUGGACGGAUUGGAUGGUCAGCCGCACUGGAGCUGAAACGCGGUCCAGGCGCCUGCGGGAGGCAGCAGUGGGGAAUGGUGGACAGUGGGCGCGAACAUGAUCCAGCCGUACCGCGUGUGUGAAGAAAACCUCGGGGGUGUAAUGCCCUUUUUUUGGGAAAGAAAAGCAGCAGGUUAAUACCCCGCGUUACUGACGGUACCCAAAGAAUAAGCACCGGCUAACUUCGUG
rnacentral:rRNA from 1 species